CCCUUAGAUGUUCUGGGCGGCCCGCGCACUACAAUGGCGUGUGCAGCGAGUGCCGAAGUAGAGUUUUCCGAGGUAUUCUUGCAAUGCUCGUUUUGAUGGGGAUAGACCCUUGCAACUGUUGGUUUUGAACGAGGAAUUCCUUGUAAGCAUGGUUUAUCAUCCGACGCUGAAUGCGUCCCUGCCCUUUGUACACACCGCCCGUCGCUCCUACCGAUUGGGUGUGCUGGUGAAAUGUUCGGAUCGGCCGUUUGUCGCGGUUUCCGCGGCUCGUGGCUGAGAAGUUCAUUAAACCCUCCCACCUAGAGGAAGGAGAAGUCGUAACA
rnacentral:rRNA from 1 species